rnacentral:lncRNA from 1 species
GACAUUUACAAUAUAGACUAGAAAUACCUGCAGAGCCCUAAUGUGUAGCAUGUUUGAUGAACACCACCAGCAGUCUUCCAAACUAAGCAGAGCCAUCCUAGCGAUGGGGUUUUUAUCUCAGGCUGCACAGUGACAUCAUGGCAGUGGGGGAAAGGGCCUAAUUCAUCGAUGAAAAAGAAAUGUAAAGCAGACCCCUUCUUCCAUGUCCUCUGUCAAAGGUAGAUGGAUAGCAAGCAUCCUUGCUACCUGUCAACCAUCUGGCUGCCCUGCCUCCAGCCAUUGUGCAGCCAUCACUGC